rnacentral:rRNA from 1 species
UUUUAGUGGCGAACGGGUGAGUAACACGUAAGCAACCUACCCUAAAGACGAGGAUAACCAUUGGAAACAGUGGCUAAGACUGGAUAGGAAGAAAUAAGGCAUCUUUUUUCUUUUAAAAGACCUAGUGAUAGGUAUACUUUAGGAGGGGCUUGCGCCAUAUUAGUUAGUUGGUAGGGUAAUGGCCUACCAAGACGAUGAUGUGUAGCUGGACUGAGAGGUUGAACAGCCACAUUGGGACUGAGACACGGCCCAAACUCCUACGGGAGGCAGCAGUAGGGAAUUUUCGGCAAUGGAGGAAACUCUGACCGAGCAACGCCGCGUGAACGACGAAGUACUUUGGUAUGUAAAGUUCUUUUAUCAAGGAAGAAAAGCAAGUGGUGAACCAUUUGUUUGCCGGUACUUGAUGAAUAAGCCCCGGCUAAUUAUGUGCCAGCAGCCGCGGUAAGACAUAAGGGGCAAGUGUUAUCCGGAAUUAUUGGGCGUAAAGGGUGCGUAGGCGGUCUAGUAAGUCAGUGGUGUAAUGGCAACGCUCAACGUUGUCCGGCUAUUGAAACUGCUAAACUUGAGUUAGAUAGAGGCGAGUGGAAUUCCAUGUGUAGCGGUAAAAUGCGUAAAUAUAUGGAGGAACACCAGAGGCGUAGGCGGCUCGCUGGGUCUUAACUGACGCUGAGGCACGAAAGCGUGGGGAGCAAACAGGAUUAGAUACCCUGGUAGUCCACGCCGUAAACGAUGAGUACUAAGUGUCGGGUUAAACCGGUACUGAAGUUAACACAUUAAGUACUCCGCCUGAGUAGUACGUACGCAAGUAUGAAACUUAAAGGAAUUGACGGGACUCCGCACAAGCGGUGGAUCAUGUUGUUUAAUUCGAAGAUACCCGAAAAACCUUACCAGGUCUUGACAUGUUUUUGCGAAACGGUAGUAAUAUCGUGGAGGUUAUCAGAAACACAGGUGGUGCAUGGUUGUCGUCAGCUCGUGUCGUGAGAUGUUAGGUUAAGUCCUAAAACGAGCGAAACCCUUAUCGUUAGUUGCCAGCACGUUAUGGUGGGGACUUUAACGAGACUGCCAGUGAUAAAUUGGAGGAAGGUGAGGAUCACGUCAAAUCAGCAUGCCCCUUAUGACCUGGGCUACAAACGUGAUACAAUGGCUGUUACAAAGGGUAGCUGAAACGCAAGUUCUUGGCCAAUCCCCAAAAACAGUCUCAGUCCGGAUUGAAGUCUGCAACUCGACUUCAUGAAGUUGGAAUCGCUAGUAAUCGCGAAUCAGCAUGUCGCGGUGAAUACGUUCUCGGGGUUUGUACACACCGCCCGUCAAACCACGAAAGUUGGCAAUACCCCAAAACGGUAGCCUAACUCGUUUAUCGAGAGGGCGCUGUCUAAGGUAGGGUCGAUGAUUGGGGUUAAGUCGUAACAAGGUAUCCCUACCGGAAGGUGGGGAUGGAUCACCUCCUUUCU